rnacentral:lncRNA from 1 species
GGGCAAGAGUCUCAGGGUCACCGCGAGAUUCCAGCCUUGUGAUCUCGGACAGCUUCCCUAGUCUGAACUGGAAUGCGGACUCUUUGUCUGUAAAUGGUUAACAGGUCUACAGCCCCCGAGGGCCGCUUCCUGCCUCUCGCAGUGUGGCUGGGAGCAGAGGGCGCAGCCUGGGGUUCUGCCCCAUCCACUCACCACUUCACAGGCACCGCAGUCCCACUGGGACAGGAGCUUCGUGUGCAAAACUCCUUGCCAAGCCUCCAGCCUCUUCUCACUCACUCAUCGCCUCAGGCCCAGCUGCCCGGAUCUUCAGAACUGCCCGGAGUCUGCCUAAACAGGGUGGAACAGAAGAGAACAGGAUGGAGCAGCAGAGGCCAGGUCAGAAGAGACCGGGACAGAGUGGGCUAGGACUAAGACCGGGACAAAUGAGUCUGGCCGGAGCAGAGCACAGCAGAACCCCAGGGCCGGAGCAGGUGGCGCUGCGCAGGAGGAAAUAAAACCCACCCCACUCAUCAACAAAUAUUUCCCAAGCACCACUCUACGCAAGGUAAGGAAAAGUGAGAUGCGGCCCCUGCCCUCGUGGAGCUUACUGUCUUGUGUAACAGACGUACAAGACA